rnacentral:rRNA from 1 species
AUUGAACGCUGGCGGCAUGCCUUACACAUGCAAGUCGAACGGCAGCACGGGAGCUUGCUCCUGGUGGCGAGUGGCGAACGGGUGAGUAAUAUAUCGGAACGUACCCUAGAGUGGGGAUAACGCAGCGAAAGUUGCGCUAAUACCGCAUACGAUCUACGGAUGAAAGUGGGGGAUCGCAAGACCUCAUGCUCAUGGAGCGGCCGAUAUCAGAUUAGGUAGUUGGUGAGGUAAAGGCUCACCAAGCCGACGAUCUGUAGCUGGUCUGAGAGGACGACCAGCCACACUGGGACUGAGACACGGCCCAGACUCCUACGGGAGGCAGCAGUGGGGAAUUUUGGACAAUGGGCGCAAGCCUGAUCCAGCAAUGCCGCGUGCAGGAUGAAGGCCUCGGUUGGUAACUA